rnacentral:lncRNA from 1 species
ACAAUGCAAAUACACCCCUGCAGAAAUAACAGUUCAGAUUCUGUCACUGCGUACCGGUACACGGGCCCGCGUACCGGUACGCCUCCCACGAAAAGGCCAAACCCGAGCCUCGGGUUCACUCAAAACUGGCUGUGUACCGGUACACGGACCCGCGUACCGGUACAACCAUCACCACGUACCGGUACAGCCAUCAACCCUGUACCGGUACACAGCCCACUGA